AUGACCAAAAUGGUCUGUUGACCACUUUAGGAGUUAUUGCCCUUUAUAGUCAAUUUUUAACCAUUUUUCGUAAAUCUUAGUAAUCUUUUAGAAAAUCUUCUCUGAAACUACUGGGCCAAAUUUAACCAAACUUAGCCAUAAUCAUCAUUGGGGUAUCUAGUUUAAAAAAUGUGUCCGGUGACCCGCCCAACCAACCAAGAUGGCCGCAAUGGC
rnacentral:lncRNA from 1 species